UACAAAGGUCUCAAGCGUUGUUCGGAUUCAUUGGGCGUAAAGGGUGCGUAGGCGGCGCGGUAAGUCGGGUGUGAAAUCUCAGGGCUCAACCCUGAAACUGCACUCGAUACUGCUCUGCUUGAGGACUGGAGAGGAGACUGGAAUUCACGGUGUAGCAGUGAAAUGCGUAGAUAUCGUGAGGAAGACCAGUGGCGAAGGCGGGUCUCUGGACAGUCCCUGACGCUGAGGCGCGAAGGCCAGGGGAGCAAACGGG
rnacentral:rRNA from 1 species